rnacentral:rRNA from 1 species
AUUGAACGCUGGCGGCAUGCUUUACACAUGCAAGUCGAACGGCAGCGCGGGCUUCGGCCUUGCGGCGAGUGGCGAACGGGUGAGUAAUACAUCGGAACGUGCCCAGUAGUGGGGGAUAGCUCGGCGAAAGCCGGAUUAAUACCGCAUACGACCUGAGGGUGAAAGCGGGGGAUCUUCGGACCUCGCGCUAUUGGAUCGGCCGAUGGCAGAUUAGCUAGUUGGUGGGGUAAAGGCCUACCAAGGCGACGAUCUGUAGCUGGUCUGAGAGGACGACCAGCCACACUGGGACUGAGACACGGCCCAGACUCCUACGGGAGGCAGCAGUGGGGAAUUUUGGACAAUGGGCGAAAGCCUGAUCCAGCAAUGCCGCGUGUGUGAUGAAGGCCUUCGGGUUGUAAAGCACUUUUGGCGGGAACGAAAAGGACUGUGCCAAUACCACGGUUCGAUGACGGUACCAGCAGAAUAAGCACCGGCUAACUACGUG